UUGACACUGAAACGCUCCAACUCAUUGAUGAGUUGAGAGUAAUUAUUAUUAAUUAUUAUAAUUAUUAACAUGACGAGUUUGAUGAAAUUCUUAACUCAUUAUACAUAAUACAUCACUCAGUUUCCCAAACUCAUGACGUAGUUUCUCAAACUGCCAAUCAAGGCAGAGUAAAGUUUGGUGGGCGGCAAAACACUGACAAGCACGUAGGCGGGGCAUCUCGGUAACGGCGACUGGCGAGAUUAGGUCCAGAUGUAAACAAACAGGAAAUUUGUGUUUUUGUUCCUCGUUGAAAUAGAGUCGUUUCAUUUUGAACUAAUCCGAGUUUUUGCCCAAGUUUUGUUCUACUUUAUACGGGCGUAACUGAUCAACCAACUUUACGUGCUGUAAGCAAAGAAGUGUAUGAAAAGAGGGCAUACCCUGUUGCAGGCUCUUGAGUCUUCACACCUCUUGUCGUUAGGUUCACUGUGCCAUCAAUCUGAUUGCCAGCCGACCACUUGGCUUGAAUAUAAUUCUUCUUUUUGCUUGGGAUCUGUUCUUAUCUUUGACUGAAGAUGGCUGACGCUUUAGAUGACACUUCAGUAGACGUGACGCCGACACGCAAUCUGCGCUCAAGGACAGCGCCGAUAAUUAAACAUUUUAAUUUUGUUGGUUGUAAAAAUUAAACCUAGUUCCACCACUGAAGGUUUCUACACAGCUAAAGAACUCCGUUCCGAAGGUGGGAAAAGGAAUCGGAAAGGGAGAGCGAGGUUGGAGCACAGAAGAAAAAGAUCAGCUGAUCUCCAUU